AUCCGGCGAAAGCCGGCUCCCGCAAGGGCAGUUGCCGAGGUGCUGCAUGGCUGUNGUCAGCUCGUGUCGUGAGAUGUUGGGUUAAGUCCCGCAACGAGCGCAACCCUUGUCCGCUGUUGCCAUCAGGUUAAGCUGGGCACUCUGCGGAGACUGCCGGUGAUAAACCGGAGGAAGGUGGGGAUGACGUCAAGUCAGCAUGGCCUUUAUGUCUGGGGCUACACACGUGCUACAAUGGCAGAUACAAACCGUCGCGAGACCGCAAGGUGGAGCUAAUCGGAGAAAGUCUGUCUCAGUUCGGAUUGCAGGCUGCAACUCGCCUGCAUGAAGUUGGAAUCGCUAGUAAUCGCGGAUCAGCACGCCGCGGUGAAUACGUUCCCGGGCCUUGUACACACCGCCCGUCACAUCACGAAAGCUGGCUGUACUAGAAGUCGCCGCGCUAACCCGCAAGGGAGGCAAGCGCCUAAGGUACGGUUAGUGAUUGGGGUG
rnacentral:rRNA from 1 species